rnacentral:rRNA from 1 species
UAUGUAGGGGGCAAGCGUUGUCCGGAUUUAUUGGGCGUAAAGAGCGUGUAGGCGGCUUCACAGGUCCGCUGUGAAAACUCGAGGCUCAACCUCGAGCUGUCGGUGGAAACCGUGUGGCUAGAGUCUGGAAGAGGAGAGUGGAAUUCCCGGUGUAGCGGUGAAAUGCGCAGAUAUCAGGAAGAACACCCGUGGCUAAGGCGGCUCUCUAGUACGGUACUGACGCUGAGACGCGAAAGCGUGGGGAGCGAACAGG